rnacentral:rRNA from 1 species
UUUGAAAGAUGGCUUCGGCUAUCACUUUUGGAUGGUCCCGCGGCGUAUUAGCUAGAUGGUGGGGUAACGGCUCACCAUGGCAAUGAUACGUAGCCGACCUGAGAGGGUAAUCGGCCACAUUGGGACUGAGACACGGCCCAAACUCCUACGGGAGGCAGCAGUAGGGAAUCUUCCACAAUGGACGAAAGUCUGAUGGAGCAACGCCGCGUGAGUGAAGAAGGGUUUCGGCUCGUAAAACUCUGUUGUUAAAGAAGAACAUAUCUGAGAGUAACUGUUCAGGUAUUGACGGUAUUUAACCAGAAAGCCACGGCUAACUACGUGCCAGCAGCCGCGGUAAUACGUAGGUGGCAAGCGUUGUCCGGAUUUAUUGGGCGUAAAGCGAGCGCAGGCGGUUUUUUAAGUCUGAUGUGAAAGCCUUCGGCUCAACCGAAGAAGUGCAUCGGAAACUGGGAAACUUGAGUGCAGAAGAGGACAGUGGAACUCCAUGGUGUAGCGGUGAAAUGCGUAGAUAUAUGGAAGAACACCAGUGGCGAAGGCGGCUGUCUGGUCUGUAACUGACGCUGAGGCUCGAAAGUAUGGGUAGCAAACAGGAUUAGAUACCCUGGUAGUCCAUACCGUAAACGAUGAAUGCUAAGUGUUGGAAGGGUUUCCGCCCUUCAGUGCUGCAGCUAACGCAUUAAGCAUUCCGCCUGGGGAGUACGGCCGCAAGGCUGAAACUCAAAGGAAUUGACGGGGGCCCGCACAAGCGGUGGAGCAUGUGGUUUAAUUCGAAGCUACGCGAAGAACCUUAC